rnacentral:rRNA from 1 species
UGAGUUUGAUUAUGGCUCAGAUUGAACGCUGGCGGCAGGCCUAACACAUGCAAGUCGAGCGGUAACAGGACUAGCUUGCUAGUUGCUGACGAGCGGCGGACGGGUGCGUAACACGUAGGAAUCUGCCCGGUAGUGGGGGAUAGCCCGGAGAAAUCCGGAUUAAUACCGCAUACGCCUUACGAGGGAAAGGAGGGGACUCUUCGGAGCCUUUCGCUAUCGGAUGAGCCUGCGUCGGAUUAGCUAGUUGGUGGGGUAAAGGCCUACCAAGGCGACGAUCCGUAGCUGGUCUGAGAGGAUGAUCAGCCACACUGGGACUGAGACACGGCCCAGACUCCUACGGGAGGCAGCAGUGGGGAAUAUUGCACAAUGGGGGAAACCCUGAUGCAGCCAUGCCGCGUGUGUGAAGAAGGCUCUAGGGUUGUAAAGCACUUUCAGCGAGGAGGAAAGGUUGCUGGUUAAUACCCAGCGGCUGUGACGUUACUCGCAGAAGAAGCACCGGCUAACUCCGUGCCAGCAGCCGCGGUAAUACGGAGGGUGCGAGCGUUAAUCGGAAUUACUGGGCGUAAAGCGUGCGUAGG